UGAAACUGCGAAUGGCUCAUUAAAACAGUUAUAGUUUAUUUGAUAAUCGAAUUUACAUGGAUAACCGUGGUAAUUCUAGAGCUAAUACAUGCUGGUUAGCCUGACUUUUGAGGAAGGGCUGUAUUUAUUAGAUAACAAACCAAUAUUCCCCGUGUCUAUUGUGAUGACUCAUAAUAACUGAUCGAAUCGCAUGGACUUUGUCCGCGAUAAAUCAUUCAAGUUUCUGCCCCAUCAGCUUUCGAUGGUAGUGUAUUGGACUACCAUGGCUUUAACGGGUAACGGAGGAUUAGGGUUCGAUUCCGGAGAGGGAGCCUGAGAAACGGCUACCACAUCUAAGGAAGGCAGCAGGCGCGUAAAUUACCCAAUCCUGACUCAGGGAGGUAGUGACAAGAAAUAACG
rnacentral:rRNA from 1 species